AUCGGUUCAUGAACCCGGCCAAGACUAAACCUCAGCCGCGACUAGACCGGCUGCUCUUUGCCAGUUUGUGGUUAUACAUUCUGGUUGAGUUUAAAAAAUUUUUCCUACCUAACUGCGUUGUAACACACCGACCAGAAAGUUUAUUCUCUUCCGUUCUUCAACUUUCAUUCGAUUCUUCCUUCCCCGACCAUGCACAAACACACCUCCACCCAUGAUCCCAUCUUCAAGUUCGACUCCACCAAAGAGAACUUUUUCUGUUCUUAGACUCUUCCUGCCGAUUUAUUGACGACAAAAUUUGUCGCGACCGUGAUGAUAACAGUGAUGACUUCCGCCGACGAUUGACGAGUACUGACAACGGAAGUUUAUCUUUUUCAUGCUUCCACACCCCGCUGAUCCUUUAGUAAAUUGAGCAAAUUUUGCUUUUGCGAUUUUUCACUUUGCUGCUACUUGUGUUUUAUAGGUCUAUGAAGGGCUAAAUUUGGAUACAGCUAGGAGCUACAUCAACUCAUCAAAGAGUUUGGAGGCAAUAAAAAUUUUGGUUCUUUCGGUACCCCCAUGAUGCAAUGAAACAAGAAACAGGUUAUUGGGCAGUGGGGGGGCAGGAUUCACUGCGAAGGGUUACAAUGUAACUUUUCUGAUCUCUGCUUUGAUUUUCCAUGUCUUUGGGAAGAUCUGCAGUUUCUAUGUUCAUUAGUAAUUGUUUCUCCCCAACAAUGAUAGGAGAUGAAAAAAUAGAAUUGGAUACUGCCACGUGAUGCCUUUCCCAAUCAAUGGCACAUAUGGCUUUUAAAAAGAUCAUUCAAAAAGCAAACUUUUAAAAUCCACACGUUACACUUAUUUGUAUACUGGUAGUUCUUGUCUCUUACAGUUUAUAAAUUAUGCAGCCUUUGUGUGAUGUAUAUUCUCCAAUGAGAUUCUAUUGAGGCUUGCUUUCCAUCUUCUGUUUAAUUUCGUUGCCUAAUAAGAUUUCGGAAAGCCUUUUGUUAACGCCAUCAUAGUUUAAUUUUCAUGGGAGUUAAUUUGUUGAACUUUGGUUGGCCUAAAUAGAUGAGUGACUGAUCAAUGGAGGAAUGCUCCAUCAGGACUACUGCCCCAAGUUUCUUCGACCAGAACAUUCCGAGGCUUCAAUGUUGAAAGGUGUUUUGAAUGGCAGGGAUAUGUCCCCUAAAACUUACCUAAUUCUCUCAUUAACAAUGGUGGACACUUGUUUGUAUGCAAGAAAGUAGAAAUUUCACAUUCUUGUUCGAUGAUUUUGAUGAGCUUCUUUUAUUCUGUUGAACUGUAACAUUUAUUUCAGUUUGAGAAGUAUAUAUUAAUAUUGAAAUUUCAAUCA